CUAGGUGGUUCUAGCGGUGGGGGUACACCCGAUCCCAUCCCGAACUCGGCAGUAAAGUCCACCAGCGCCGAUGGUAGUCGCAAGGCGAGAGUAGGCCGCCGCCUAGA
rnacentral:rRNA from 1 species